AACCAUAGAAACCUGCGGAGUACCUGCGGAAGGAUCAUUAAAGAUUGACCGAAAGGUCUUAUCUCUAUAUCCCUCACCUCUGUGAACUGUGGACCUCCGGGUCUAUUUAACAAACAUCAGUGUAAUGAACGUAUAUAUCAUUAAACAAAACAAAACUUUUAACAAUGGAUCU
rnacentral:misc_RNA from 1 species